CUUUCUUUUUAAAUGUUUAUGGUAGAAGAACAUCAAGUAUAGUUGUCAACACACUUCUUAAUAUUACUGGUUGUGCCUGUGCCUCCAAAGCAUGGAUUUGAUAGCUCCAAUAUUGUAAUCUAAAUUUCCUGGCAAUGCCCCCACUGCUGGAUAGAUUGCUGUUGACAGCUUUUGACCAGAGGGAGCCAUUAGAUUUUGCUGGCUAGCAAACAAUUACAGCUUUGAUAUGAGCUACAAGGGGCUCUACCUCUCCCCUGAGUAUUAGAAGUGUGAAAAGAAGAGCUGUCUCCAUGAAGAUGGGCCAAAUGCCCUCCCUCCUGUGGCUGAUUGUGCUACAUCAUCCCAACAUGAUAAACCAGAAAUCUUUGAGUGAGUUUAACUUCCUAUCCCUCCCUGAUCCUGCAACACCCAACUAGUCAUGUAAUUUGUGCAUUAUUUAUAUCCAUCCCCUAGCCAACCUGUUGAGGUUUUGUAACAAACUCUUUGCCCAAGGCCUAUCCCCUUAGAAAUCUGUGACAGUAUUUUCAAACUGGUACUUCUGCAACAUGUGCUUAACUAUUUCUUUCUUUUUCAUAAAACCACUGUCUUCUUUUUCACAGCAUUGUGAAGUCAGCAUGUGAUGGUCAUAAGAACACAAGACUUGGGGAAGGUGACAAGCCAGGGUUUAUACUGAUGCUCUCCAUUGUUAGCUACAUGGUCACAGAAAGUAGCUGACUAUGUUUGAAAGGCAGGUAUUAAAAACAUUACUUUAGGGUAGUUUUAGUUUAAUUGAAUUGGCUUAAAUUAAAUUCUCAUUCAAGUAUAUUUUAUACUUGAAUUUCAGGACUAUAUUCGUUUAUAGAAACAAAGUGUACUAAAUGUAAAACUUCUUUAUCAAAUGGAUAUAUACUAUAAAAUAACUUUCAAACUUAAUUUGUGUAGAAUUUGUACUUGGAUUUAGGGAUGUAUGAGCCAAUAUUAUGUUUAAUUCUUUAGUGGUUGAGAAAAUUUUAAUACAUUUAACUAUGAUCAAUUGUGAUCAUUCUCUUCUACUAAGAUGAUAAAGUGUUCAAAGUAAUACUGGUUAAGAAAUAUUUAAAAUUCACUCAGAUGACGAAUGGUUGAAAUUUCUAAACAAGAAGGAAUUACAAUCACUUUGGCUUUGUUUUACAUUCUUCCUCCACUUCCAUUUUCAUCUCUGCACAGUGCUAAGCUGUCUAAUGCAAAGCCUUCUCUAACCGUGCAAUCAGAAAAAGGUUUGCAUAUGUGGAAUGAGAAAGUUCAUAAAUACCAACAAAAUGUCUCAGCCGAAUUUUUGAGACAAGAGAUUCUUAUGAUAGUCAUUAUUUCCUAUUUAUUUUAUUCCUUCAAUGGCACAUUGUUUAUCAAUAUAACUAACUUGAAACACAAUUUCAACUCUGCCAACUGACUUUUGCUUUGGAAGAUAAAUUAAUAAAUGCCUGAAGUAAGAAAAAACAUGGUAGUAACAGAUUAAAUGAAUUAUUUAUCCUGAGUGUCCCAGGGCAUAGCUAACCUCCAGCGGUUAUAUAAGAUGUCCAUGCCGUAUAAACUACGUUAUGUUUGUAACUACCAUUUUCCAGUUCAUUAUCUUUAUUGUGGCUACCUAAUAAUUUGAAAGUACCAUGCUCAAUUCUUGUUACUGCACAGUUUCCAUUUGUAUAGAAAUGAAUAAAUUAUUGGUGUCAUUCACAGACCACAUCCUAAUUCUUAUGAAAAUCAAGAUACCAUUGAUAAUCUUUGCAGUAAGCAUGCAAAAAUAUGUAAACUGCUCUUACCAAAGCAAUCUGAAAGCAUAAUUUUUGUGACAAGAAUAACUGUGUGAGAAACAAAAGCAUUAAUUUUUCAGUGUUUCCAAUUCA
rnacentral:lncRNA from 1 species